rnacentral:rRNA from 1 species
UACGUAGGGUGCAAGCGUUGUCCGGAAUUAUUGGGCGUAAAGAGCUCGUAGGCGGUUUGUUGCGUCGGCUGUGAAAUCCCGAGGCUCAACCUCGGGUCUGCAGUCGAUACGAGCAAACUAGAGUGUUGCAGGGGAGACUGGAAUUCCUGGUGUAGCGGUGAAAUGCGCAGAUAUCAGGAGGAACACCGGUGGCGAAGGCGAUCAUCUGGGGUUGUUCUGACACUGAGGAGCGAAAGCUAGGGGAGCAAACGGG